UAACAAUGAUUUCCCUAGUAACGGCGAGUGAAGAGGAAAGAGCUCAAAGUUGGAACCUGUUUGGCUUAGCUAAACCGGAUUGUAAACUGUAGAAGUGUUUUCCAGACACGCCUGGUAAAAAAGUCCUUUGGAACAGGGCAUCAUAGAGGGUGAGAAUCCCGUCAUUGGCCAGAGCUGUUGUCUUUUGUGAUACAUUUUCAAAGAGUCAGGUUGUUUGGGAAUGCAGCCUAAAUUGGGUGGUAAAUCUCACCUAAAGCUAAAUAUUUGCGAGAGACCGAUAGCGAACAAGUACCGUGAGGGAAAGAUGAAAAGAACUUUGAAAAGAGAGUUAAACAGUAUGUGAAAUUGUUAAAAGGGAACCGUUUGGAGCCAGACUGGCUUAACUGUAAUCAAUCUAGGCUUUGGCCUGGAUGCACUUGCGGUUUAUGCCGGCCAACGACAGUUUUGUUUGAGGGAAAAAAUUACAUUGAAUGUGGCCCUUCGGGGUGUUAUAGCUUUGUAAAAAAUACCUUGGACUGGACUGAGGAACGCAGUGAAUGCCUUUAGGCAAGAUUGCUGGGUGCUUUCGCUAAUAAAUGCUAGAAUUUCUGCUUCGGGUGGUGCUAGUGUUUAAAGGAGGAACUCGCUUAGUAUAUUUUUUAUUCGCUUAGGUUGUUGGCUUAAUGACUCUAAAUGACCCGUCUUGAAACACGGACCAA
rnacentral:rRNA from 1 species